rnacentral:lncRNA from 1 species
GGAGCUGGCACUUUUGACCAUCUUUACCUACGGUGUCAGAUGGCCCAGCCAGUGGGGGAGCUGGGCCUAGAGCUCCAGUCUUUUACUUGAUGCUGCCAUUUUCAAGUAGGGCUAACUCUGUGAUAAAGCCCUUGGCUGACUAUCUUGGAUUACUGGCUUCCCAGAGCACUAGCAUUUAGCAGUUAAAACUGUGAAGUUAAAAGUGAGACUCAGGUACGAGAGCCACAGCUGCUGUCUCAUCUCUCAAGCGCAUUCCUUCCCUGUUACCUGAGGCAGGGACAAGUUUACAACCUGAUGGACUGGACUUUACUUCUUCUAGCUUUCCAGUUUCCCCAGUUGAUUUUCACUCUGUUCAUGAAGUAAAAAUAAAAUACAUUUCCUGUAUGCCAUUGGGCAUUU